rnacentral:lncRNA from 1 species
CGCAGGGCCCGUGGGUGGGGCCUGGGGACCCGGCCCUGCCCUCGCGCACCCUCCAGACCCGCCACUUCUUAGCUAGCGAGCGGCCGCCUCCCCGCCCUCCUUUCAGCCACUCGCUCCGCGCAGUCAGCUCUGCUGACUCUUCCGGAGGAUUCUGGAAGGUUCCAGAGGGUGUGCCGCCGAGGCCCUGCGAGAGGGCUUUCCCUGGGGAGAACAUUCCAGAGCAAGCUGCAGACGAGCCGGGACCCCGUUGGCAGCCGUGCCGCGCCCCUGGGAGCUGCUGUGAGGAGCCCACACGCCAUCGCCGAACCCCGACUCCAGCUCAGAAGAUCCGGCACAGGCGCGGGGGCGGCGGGCAUAGUCUCCCCAGGAGGCCAAG